rnacentral:rRNA from 1 species
AGCCUGUCCCAGUUCGGACUGGAGUCUGCAACCCGACUCCACGAAGUUGGAUUCGCUAGUAAUCGCGCAUCAGCCAUGGCGCGGUGAAUACGUUCCCGGGCCUUGUACACACCGCCCGUCAAGCCAUGGGAGCCGGGGGCGCCUGAAGUCCGGGACCGCGAGGACCGGCCUAGGGCGAAACUGGUAACUGGGCUAAGUCGUAACAAGGUAAC